UUCCAGGCCGCUUAUAAUUAGGCCUAUAUAAAGAAAUCUCCUGCUUCCCUUUACCUGGCUGGAUACUCACAACACAGGGUUGUUUCCGAUGUUACACCAUCAAAACAUGUCACCAUGGCGCCGUCUACCUGUCGCAAAUCAUUCUGUGACGCGGGAAAAAUCGGACCCGGGCAGAGGCAUUAAUUAAACUUUAUAAAAAUAGCCUUC